CCAUUACCAUCGAUUAUUUUUGUUUUCGUUUGUCAGCGGUUCGAUUCAUGAAAAUUGAUGCAAUGGUUUCUUUUUGAAAUGAAGAGGUGGACAGAGAUCUUCUGGAUCUCCCCGCCAGAAUGUCCUCCUCAUCUCCGGGCGAUAACUACGUUUUGGGUCUUUUUCUUUCUUUUUGGAAAAAUGAACUAGUCUCGUAGAAUCUCCAAUUGUUUCUCGGAAUCGUGUUUUCUCGAAACAAGGAGAUCAUUGGACACAUCCGAACAAUUUGGAGAUGUCGGUGAGCUACAAAUAUUGGGAUGAUUGUGUGGAUCCGGAGGAGAUGCAAUUGUUGUGGAAGGACGCGGAUGUGUGCAAGGAAUGGAUCGAUGCGGGAGAAAAGAUGGGGAAGAAGGUUCUCCUCUCACGAGAUCCUGAGGGACAGCUGUAUCUCACGCAAACAGAAAUGAGGGCUGUUGCUGAAAUUGUUGUCCAUCUGCACUUCAAUUCACAAUUGGCAUCGGAUAUGAUAUGUGCUCUUGCUGAAAUUGUCAGUGACAGACAACUUCAGGCAGAGUAUUAUGAUCGAAAGACAAAGCAGGCUAGAAUUGGCAUAAUGCAGAUAGCUCCAGAAAAUGCAGAAUGGCUUGUCAGGGAAAUGGGCUACCGGAACUAUGAAAUAGAGGGAAUUUCAACAUUGCUAUUCAGGCCAUUUGUGAACGUCUACUUUGGAGCAGCUUAUCUAAAGUGGCUAUCCUAUUGUGAUGGAAAAGAAAGGACUGAAGAGUUUGUCAUUAGAGCUUACAAAGGGGGUAUCAAGAAGGCUACUCAUAAGUCAACAGCUGACUUUUUCCAGCGUUAUCUAUCCAUCAAACAGAGUUUGCUCCCCAAGAGGGAAGAGGAGAUAUCUGAUGCUUUGCAUACUGCUAGACCAAUUUCUGUGACUUCAGGAUCAGGUGAAGGGUGGACAUACUGGGACUAUAGAGUAUCAUCAGAAGACAUGGAAGUGCUUUGGAGGCAUCCUGAAGUUCUAAAAGAGUGGACAAGAUCUGGUGAGAGACGUGGGAGAGUACGCUUCUCUCAUGAUUCAGAGAAGAGACCUUAUCUUUCUCGAGUUGAAGUUAAGGCUGUUGCUGAACUAAUUAUUUCGCGAUACUUCAGUAAAAGAGGAAUAAAACCAACAGCUCUAGCUGCUCUUGCUGAAGUAUGUAGCAUGCGAUUUGUUAAUGGUGUUCGUGCACGUACAGGAUUAAUGGGAAUUGAUUAUCCUACUGCUGCCUGGCUAUACAAGGAUGUUGGCUGUCGGGCAUAUAAAGUUAUGUCUGUUGAUGAUCUCUAUAAUCCUUUGGUGUCCAUGUACUUUGGUGCAUCUUAUUUGGCCUGGCUUUCACAGUAUGAAGGGAGAGAAAGAAGCUAUCAGUUCAUCGUGCAGGCCUAUCUGUGUGGGCCAGAGAAUGUAAAUCUUCAGGAGACAGGCCCAUUUUGGAAUAGAUUCCAGCAGGCCUUAUGCUACUAUGAAGAUCCAAAAAAGUGUAUAUUACUGUUUCACAACGUGGUUUGUAUUACUAGUCAGGAUUUUGUUUACAAUUCUGGCUGACAUAUCUUCAGGGACCAAGGGAGCUGCUGCAUACUAUGAAACAUUAAAACUAUCUUUCGGUAUCUUCUUGUACAUCUAUUACUGCAAAAGUCGAUGAUCUCUGCAUCAACUGGUAAUUAAUGUAAGGGUGCUGGAUUCCUAGAUUAUAUGAUUUCGGAUGCUGUCUCAUACAGAAAAAUAGGUUUUGGUUACCUACCUCACUGUCGAUGGACUACUAUUGAAGAAAUUGGUUUUUUUGUUGUGGGUGCCAAUUCAUUUGGCUCUUUAACUCAUAAACUUCUUUGGAAAUCAGGCCACACUGGCCGUAGCUUAAUGUUCCUUUUCCUUUCUUCAAGUGCUGUAAUUAUGUGUGGAAAUAUCUCCAAUACAUGACAGAUUAAUACUCGUCCACAUGAAUCAGCCGUAUACCAUAGUUUGCAGUUGAA